rnacentral:lncRNA from 1 species
ACCAAUUCAUGCAUCUACGGUUCAGUCUGCAUUUAAGUGCAAGCAAGAGAUGAUGCUGGCGCUGAUUUAAAUCCAUCCAGUCUAGUUUACGCUGACCAGGUUCAGCUUCUGUCCGGUGGUGGGCAGAGCCGUGCCCUUGUUGUCCGCAGCCUGCACCCCGUCGGGGGUAUCGGUGUUGACCACGUUGAGCGUUUUGCCGUUGGCCAGCUUGACCUGCGCAACCUUGAUGUACGCAGACGCCUCAGUGGGCAUGAAGCUCAAGCCUUGCGCGCUCAGCUUGCCGCUCACAGUGAUCCACUGCUCCGUACGCUGUUCCAAAGCCUGGGCAACGUCCUUGGCCUGCUUGUCGUAGUGUGCAUUGGCGUUGCGCGUCUUUUCAACCUCCGUCUUGUCAUAUGAGGCGCCCAGGUGCACACCGAACCAGCUGAGGACAGGUACGUUGAAGCCACCAUCGUAGUGCUGCUUCGCUUCCUUGUAGGUGGAUUUCUCGUCCUCGCUCAUGUUUUGGACCAGCUUGGAUUCCAUGUCCGAAAUCUGGCCACAGGUCACGGCCCGCAUAGUCAUCGUGAACGUCAACUCGGCCCAUGCACCCUUCUGAACUAUGACACCCGCGGAACCCGUGGUUGCAUAACCGGUCUGGAAAUCCUUCACCACGCCCUGCAUCUCCUCGCUUGCGGUAAGGGGAAGAGACAGCAGGCGCAGCUUCUGGCCGACAAUACCCCCCAUGUAGUACUUGCUUGUCCUGCCGUCUCCGGCCCCGGCAGGUUCAACUGUCCGGGUGGGGUCGACCACCAAGCCCGAAUGCUUGCUAGGCACGCACACCGCUGCGGGGAAGCAUAUGCAGUAGUAGGCAGGGACAUUAGGCUGGGGAACAACAGGCAUGCAUGUGCGUUGUGUUGGCCAUAUAAAAUUAUUGCUUUUUACGUGUUUACGUUUUUGGCAGCUGUAGAUGCUACGACACACAAGCCUUGGAGCCAAAAGUUAGGUAUACACACACCCCGCGCAUCACGUGAACACCUUGCGUGGCCGCCGCCAGCAGACGACACGCAUUUAUCAUUCAGAGGAAUCAAACUGAUGCGCUUUGCAUCUUGUGUAAGUGAUACUAGCAAUUUACAUCUGUACUUACGCUUCUCCACCACAAGCCCGAGCUUCUUGAGCAGCUCGAUGGUCGCGCCAUUCUCCUCCAUCUUCGUGAUGGUCCACCCAUCCGAGCGCUCGUGAUAGUCGUACGGCAGGUAGCCGUACCCUGCGUCACCCCAGCUCGCGCCCCAGGAGUUGCGGAACUUGAAUCGCUUCUUGGCAUCAUCGUAGCCCACAAACAAGACGCAAUGGCCACCGAUGCGGUCACCCUUGGGCGUCUUAAUGACGCCAGUGGACUGUACAUCGUCGUCGUACAAAUUCUCAUAGCAUGUAAAACCCGCCACGACAGGCAUGCCGGCGGCGAUGGCGACCUUCAUAGAGCGGGUGUCUGUGCCUACACGUGCGCUCCUCAAGACCUGGAAGUCAAGGGCUUUUUCGAAGGCGGCCUGCGAGGGCUCCUCGCUAAACGGGACAUUGCCCCGAGUGCCGUACGGGCACAGCUCCUGCACAUUUACACAGGUACGUGCUUCGUCAACACAAUUGAUUAAGAACAGCCGAACGCAAUUGCCUGGCAUCCAGCCGGCAAUUUAUCAUUUGCAAACAAUUUUGUCAUCAAUUGCCAUCCAUUUUAGAUGAAUUGUGACGCACCCACGCAUCGGCUAUCGUGCACAUCUGCCCAUAGAAUUGGUUGCGUAGUUUCAUGUAAAAGGGCCGCAAGCACACAUAACCCUGCAUGUAAGCACGCGCAGGACCGCGUGCGGUGACCACCCACCUCAGGCGCAGCACCAAAUUCUUUCAGGGCCGCCAUAGCCGAUGAGGUGUAGGUACCCGUGUCCUCAUCGGGGCUGUUGUGGUCGAUCGCAACGCGUGCACAGUAAUACACGAACCUCGGUGACAGCUCUAUGGGGAUGAUACGGUGGGUGCGCACCACGUAGUCCAUGGCCGCUGUGGAGGCGAAGGCCACACAGGCGCCCACGUCAUACUGGUUACGUUUCACGGGCCAGUUCUGGGCGAGGUCCUUGGAGGGAGGCAGCGGUUCGGUAGGUCCAGCAGCAAGCUUCAGCUUGGGAUACUCCGCCAGCUGAUGUUCCGGCUGGGGCUUGAAGUUAAGCUUGAACUGGCGGACUGACAUCUUGCUUGAUUAAUUGCUUGAAUGUAGCCUGUUCGUCUUUCUGUUGUCGUCGACAACAGCAGUUGAAGCGGUACAAGUUGUACUCAACGCAAUCAGGGCCUGGGAUUCAGAAGCAGAACACUUUGCUUAGGUUUAUGCUUUAACUUGCAGCUGCUUAUAUAUGGGGAGAGCGCCCGCCAAGCUGUCAGAAAUCGUACCUUUGCUGCCUGGCAUGAGCUCGAAGUUUCGUUUGUUAACUAACCCGUUUUGGAUGGCCGACCAGUUUUUGUCGUAUUUGACCUUCAGAGAGCCCAACGUACUCCGCAUCCUCUACGCAUGUAUGUAAAAAGUCAAAGUCAAUUCGGCGUUACUGCGCAGGCAAGUAGUAGCAUGUAGUAAUCGACAAGCGCACAACAGAAGUAAUACCAUGCACGGGACGGCAUGCGGCCUCAAAGGGAUCGCCGCCCACCUACCGCGCCGAUGUGUCGCUUUUACUUCCAGUUGGCUUCAUUCUUGCGUAAAGCACUUAACUUCAGUCCACUUACCCAGAAAUAUUUCCCGCUCUCUCCGCUUCCGUCGGUGUUCCUGCAAUUCGGCGGGCUUUUCGUUGGAACAUGGACACCUACAUGCAUGCGCAACUUCAUUAAUGCGUUUAUGUGUUUUAUGUAUACAUAUAUUUCUGUGUGAAACAUAAAUACUUCGGAAAUGCGAACAAAAGUGCUGCUAUUGACUGCAUAUGACGUAUGACAUUGUAUGAUCCUGUGCUAAGCGACCGGCGGAUCACUGCUCCGUCGCUCGGCUGUAUCCUGACGCGAUUAGUAUAUAAAUUACUACAAAAAAGAGCACGAAACUGAAUAAGCGGUUACGUGCUAUUGCAUUGAAUUACACAGGACAGAUAGGCUGCUAGCGGGCUGCGCUGGUUGGCUUAUUACGGCUUAUUUGCAAUCCUGUGACGAUAAUGCGUAUGUGUGUAGCAGGCCGCAAGGAAGGCAGCGGUAGUUGCUGUUAAACAGGUCUGCCUUGUUAAGGGAACUGGUGAGGGAACUGCAAGCAAUCGUUGUGUGAGUUUAUUUUGGAAUACAUUCAUUCCAAGAAAAAAAAGCUUGAUCCGCGGACCUACCUAGGUAUAUAUAGAUAUAUCUGGUGGAUACUAAAGCCGGCAAGCUAUAAAAUCUGAAUCGCAAAUGUGUGGACCUGAUAUAUGCAUUAGCCUUGACUGGCUUCAUUACAUUUUCAAAAAGUACAUAAAUUUAUUUCUCAUAUCGUGUAUGCGCCAUUGCUUUGGGCUGGGACAGAACGAUUCUGCUGCCUCCCUGUGCCGACUGUGCCGAGGUCAUUAAUUCGUAACAUUCCGACCUGAUUAAUGCAUUUCGUUGAAUGCGUUGCAUGCAUGCUGAAAAUAUAAUUUUUUUUCUAUCUGAAAAACCCUAAUUACACCACAACGGAUCCAUUUGAAACCAAGAUGUGUGUGUGGUGGUGUGUGGUGGUGUGUGGUGGUGUGUGGUGGUGUGUGGUGGUGUGUGGUUGUUACAGUGGGCUCCAGACUCAAGAAGAUGUGCACGGUGGCAACACCACCCACUCCUCAUUCACGCACGUCAGGAGGUCAGCAGUGCGUGGCUAUAGGGUUACCAGGCGACUUCUAUCUCCCGAUUCAUCCAUCCCAUACAAUUACUAUGAUCCAUCAGAUACUUCAGAGCCCAUCGAUUCAUGGAUUGGCGGUUCUGUUAGUCUGCAUUUAAGCGCAAGCAGAAGAUGACGCCGGCGCUGAUCUAAAUCCAUCCAGCCUAAUUUACGCUGAUCAGGUUCAGCUUCUGUCCGGUGGUGGGCAGAGCCGUGCCCCUGUUGUCCGCAGCCUGCACCCCGUCGGGGGUAUCGGUGUUGACCACGUUGAGCGAUUUGCCG